UACGUAGGGGGCAAGCGUUGUCCGGAAUUAUUGGGCGUAAAGAGCGCGUAGGCGGUCCGGUAAGUCCGCUGUGAAAGUCGAGGGCUCAACCCUCGAAUGCCGGUGGAUACUGUCGGGCUUGAGUACGGGAGAGGCGAGUGGAUUCCUGGUGUAGCGGUGAAAUGCGCAGAUAUCAGGAGGAACACCGAUUGCGAAGGCAGCUCGCUGGAACGUUACUGACGCUGAGACGCGAAAGCGUGGGGAGCAAACAGG
rnacentral:rRNA from 1 species